CCCUCUCCCGUCUCCUGUCUCCCCUCCCAUCCCCUCCCCGUCUCUUCCUUCUUCCUCCACGGGGCCCCUCCUCUCCCCGCGUCUCCUCCAGUGCCGCGCGGCGCACGGAUCCCCUCCCUUCCAUGACUCUCCUCCCGUGCUGCGUGGGGGUGCAGACGCGGCGGCGCUGCCCAGCUAGCGCGGCGGCGGCGGGGAGCAGCGGCCGGCCAGGCGCGGCGAUGCACGGAGUGGUGGCGCUGCACGGAGUAGUGGCGCUGCACGCGGUUCAAAAAUGAGAAGGUCACGCUAGCUUGUUCCCCUCCCUUCUCUUAGAGUUUUUUUGUUUGAUGCUGCAGGUUGCUAGCUGCAAAUGCAUUUGUGUAAUUGAGGGGUUGGGCGUUGGGUUUUUUGCUCGAAAUGCCCCGCUGAACGAUAAUUGAGGAGCUGCGUGGUGCUGAAUUGCUGAUUGGUAGUCACUAGUCAGUUCGGGAGGGUAGUUCCGCGGUGUAGUUUUGAGCCAUCCUAGUUUCAGACUGUUCGACGUCUGAUAGAAUUAUACUUUGUCCAGCUACAUCUUUUGGUCGCAUGGGCAUUGCUGUCUAUUGUCUCAAGUCUCAACUGUGACUGAUUGCAACAGUCUGUCAAGGAGACCUACCAUUUUGAAUGAUUUAUGGGUAUCAAUCUCAUCAGCUCAUGCAGACUGUCGCAGCUUUUAAGACUUUUACUUUACUUUCCUGCACAAUUAGCACUAUUUAGUGUCCAUUAUGUGUUAUAUCUUUUACUAAAAUAUUUUUCAGGUAGGUAACAUUGGUGGGAAAGAAUUUUCUGAGUCACUAGCCCCAGGUGUCCAGAAACUUCUUAUUUCAAGUAGCGGCCGUCCUGUUGUCAGAAAGAAGGCUGCUCUAUGCCUUCUGCGGCUUUAUAGGAAGAAUCCUGAUGUUGUGAAUAUUGAUAUCUGGGCUGAUCGAAUGGCACAACUUCUAGAUGAGCGCUACCUAGGUGUGCUGACAUCUGUCAUGACUCAUGACCCUUUUUGUUUAAUUAGUAUCCAACAAUGCGGAAGUAUAUUGGAAUUGACUUCCAGAAUGUGUAAGAAUUAAUACUGGAGAGACUAGCAAGAAAUCAAGAUAUUCCACAGGAAUACACUUACUACGGAAUCCCAUCUCCUUGGUUGCAGGGAUGAUGUGGCUCUGGAAAUCCUCCAACAUGAUCUCUUUGCGGUAAAAUAGUUGCAGUUCUCUCAGACUUGCAUUUUAUUCUUCGGCUAAGAUUGUUGUGCAUGUAUUUCCAUCUUUUUACAAAUCUGAUUGUCUCAUGUCUUGUUGACAUUUUGCAUGCUCUUCUGAAUUUUGAAGUCAUGUAUGUUCUGUCCAAUUUCCAUGUAAUAAGUCACAUUGUUAAUAUCUAGGAUCAUAUCAAGUGCCGAGCCAGAGAGUAAUGGGCAGCUUGUUAAGUUUGCUACAGAGAGAGGCUCAAAAACUAGGCUUGAUGUAUGAACUCUUUGUUUUAAUCUUGAUGUAUGAACCCUUUCGUUUAAUCUCAA